rnacentral:rRNA from 1 species
UGCGUAGGCGGCAUUAUAAGUCAGAGGUGAAAGCCCACAGCUCAACUGUGGAAUUGCCUUUGAUACUGUAGAGCUUGAAUCAGGUUGAGGUCGGCGGAAUGUGACAUGUAGCGGUGAGAUGCAUAGAUAUGUCAUAGAACACCAAUUGCGAAGGCAGCUGGCUAGACCUGUAUUGACGCUGAGGCACGAAAGCGUGGGGAGCGAACAGGAUUAGAUACCCUGGUAGUCC